rnacentral:rRNA from 1 species
AAGGUGCUGCAUGGUUGUCGUCAGCUCGUGCCGUGAGGUGUCAGGUUAAGUCCUAUAACGAGCGCAACCCCUACCGUUAGUUGCCAGCAUGUAAAGAUGGGGACUCUAACGGGACUGCCGGUGCAAACCGCGAGGAAGGUGGGGAUGACGUCAAAUCAUCACGGCCCUUACGUCCUGGGCCACACACGUGCUACAAUGGCCGGUACAGAGGGAAGCCACCCCGUAAGGGGGCGCGGAUCUAUAAAACCGGUCACAGUUCGGAUCGGGGUCUGCAACUCGACCCCGUGAAGCUGGAAUCGCUAGUAAUCGGAUAUCAGCCAUGAUCCGGUGAAUACGUUCCCGGGCCUUGUACACACCGCCCGUCAAGCCAUGGAAGCUGGGGGUGCCUGAAGUCGGUAACCGCAAGGAGCUGCCUAGGGUAAAACUAGUAACUGGGGCUAAGUCGUAACAAGGUAGCCGUACCGGAAGGUGCGGCUGGAUCACCUCCUU